GGGUGUGAUCAUACCAGCGUUAGUACACUGGAUCCUAUGAGAACUCCGCAGUUACGCGUGCUUGGGCUAGAGUAGUACUGGGAUGGGUGACCUCCCGAGAAGUCCUAGUGUUGCACCCU
rnacentral:rRNA from 1 species